GGAUGAACUGAGGGUAGCGGAGAAAUUCCAAUCGAACCUGGAGAUAGCUGGUUCUCUCCGAAAUAGCUUUAGGGCUAGCCUCAAGUGAUGAUUAUUGGAGGUAGAGCACUGUUUGGACGAGGGGCCCCUCUCGGGUUACCGAAUUCAGACAAACUCCGAAUGCCAAUUAAUUUAACUUGGGAGUCAGAACAUGGGUGAUAAGGUCCGUGUUCGAAAGGGAAACAGCCCAGACCACCAGCUAAGGUCCCAAAAUAUAUGUUAAGUGGAAAAGGAUGUGGCGUUGCCCAGACAACUAGGAUGUUGGCUUAGAAGCAGCCAUCAUUUAAAGAGUGCGUAAUAGCUCACUAGUCGAGUGACACUGCGCCGAAAAUGUACCGGGGCUAAACAUAUUACCGAAGCUGUGGAUUGUCCUUUGGACAAUGGUAGGAGAGCGUUCUAAGGGCGUUGAAGCAUGAUCGUAAGGACAUGUGGAGCGCUUAGAAGUGAGAAUGCCGGUGUGAGUAGCGAAAGACGGGUGAGAAUCCCGUCCACCGAUUGACUAAGGUUUCCAGAGGAAGGCUCGUCCGCUCUGGGUUAGUCGGGUCCUAAGCUGAGGCCGACAGGCGUAGGCGAUGGAUAACAGGUUGAUAUUCCUGUACCACCUAUAAUCGUUUUAAUCGAUGGGGGGACGCAGUAGGAUAGGCGAAGCGUGCGAUUGGAUUGCACGUCUAAGCAGUAAGGCUGAGUAUUAGGCAAAUCCGGUACUCGUUAAGGCUGAGCUGUGAUGGGGAGAAGACAUUGUGUCUUCGAGUCGUUGAUUUCACACUGCCGAGAAAAGCCUCUAGAUAGAAAAUAGGUGCCCGUACCGCAAACCGACACAGGUAGUCAAGAUGAGAAUUCUAAGGUGAGCGAGCGAACUCUCGUUAAGGAACUCGGCAAAAUGACCCCGUAACUUCGGGAGAAGGGGUGCUCUUUAGGGUUAACGCCCAGAAGAGCCGCAGUGAAUAGGCCCAAGCGACUGUUUAUCAAAAACACAGGUCUCUGCUAAACCGUAAGGUGAUGUAUAGGGGCUGACGCCUGCCCGGUGCUGGAAGGUUAAGAGGAGUGGUUAGCUUCUGCGAAGCUACGAAUCGAAGCCCCAGUAAACGGCGGCCGUAACUAUAACGGUCCUAAGGUAGCGAAAUUCCUUGUCGGGUAAGUUCCGACCCGCACGAAAGGCGUAACGAUUUGGGCACUGUCUCAACGAGAGACUCGGUGAAAUCAUAGUACCUGUGAAGAUGCAGGUUACCCGCGACAGGACGGAAAGACCCCGUGGAGCUUUACUGUAGCCUGAUAUUGAAAUUCGGCACAGCUUGUACAGGAUAGGUAGGAGCCUUUGAAACGUGAGCGCUAGCUUACGUGGAGGCGCUGGUGGGAUACUACCCUAGCUGUGUUGGCUUUCUAACCCGCACCACUUAUCGUGGUGGGAGACAGUGUCAGGCGGGCAGUUUGACUGGGGCGGUCGCCUCCUAAAAGGUAACGGAGGCGCUCAAAGGUUCCCUCAGAAUGGUUGGAAAUCAUUCAUAGAGUGUAAAGGCAUAAGGGAGCUUGACUGCGAGACCUACAAGUCGAGCAGGGUCGAAAGACGGACUUAGUGAUCCGGUGGUUCCGCAUGGAAGGGCCAUCGCUCAACGGAUAAAAGCUACCCCGGGGAUAACAGGCUUAUCUCCCCCAAGAGUUCACAUCGACGGGGAGGUUUGGCACCUCGAUGUCGGCUCAUCGCAUCCUGGGGCUGUAGUCGGUCCCAAGGGUUGGGCUGUUCGCCCAUUAAAGCGGUACGCGAGCUGGGUUCAGAACGUCGUGAGACAGUUCGGUCCCUAUCCGUCGUGGGCGUAGGAAAUUUGAGAGGAGCUGUCC
rnacentral:rRNA from 1 species